rnacentral:rRNA from 1 species
GACGAACGCUGGCGGCGUGCUUAACACAUGCAGGUCGAACGGAAAGGCCCUGCUUUUGUGGGGUGCUCGAGUGGCGAACGGGUGAGUAACACGUGAGUAACCUGCCCUUGACUUUGGGAUAACUUCAGGAAACUGGGGCUAAUAUCGGAUAGGAGCUCCUGCUGCAUGGUGGGGGUUGGAAAGUUUCGGCGGUUGGGGAUGGACUCGCGGCUUAUCAGCUUGUUGGUGGGGUAGUGGCUUACCAAGGCUUUGACGGGUAGCCGGCCUGAGAGGGUGACCGGCCACAUUGGGACUGAGAUACGGCCCAGACUCCUACGGGAGGCAGCAGUGGGGAAUAUUGCACAAUGGGCGGAAGCCUGAUGCAGCAACGCCGCGUGCGGGAUGACGGCCUUCGGGUUGUAAACCGCUUUCGCCUGUGACGAAGCGUGAGUGACGGUAAUGGGUAAAGAAGCACCGGCUAACUACGUG